rnacentral:misc_RNA from 1 species
CCUGAACUUGAUGAGAGCUGAAGGAACCAGAUCUUCAUCUUCUAGUGUAGAGAUUCUCUCUCCUGCAGCAGGAAAAUGAGGGAUUACCCGUCGUUUGACCAUUACAGGAUCUAGCAGCUCAAACUCCAAAUUGGGGUCCUUUAGUGAUGUGCUCACAAACUUAUAGAGAGCACUAGUCGGUUCCCAAGGAGCAAAGACAGCCUGAAGCACCACUCCAUCAGGAAAUUGG